GCCGGGGUGGCGGAAUGGUAGACGCAGACGACUUAAAAUCGUCCGGAUUUUCCUUGCGGGUUCAAGUCCCGCUUCCGGCA
rnacentral:tRNA from 1 species